GAUGAAGAACGUAGCGAAAUGCGAUAAGUAAUGUGAAUUGCAGAAUUCAGUGAAUCAUCAAAUCUUUGAACGCACAUUGCGCCCCCUGGUAUUCCGGGGGGCAUGCCUGUUCGAGCGUCAUUUCAACCCUCAAGCUCUGCUUGGUAUUGAGUCCAUGUCAGCAAUGGCAGGCUCCAAAAUCAGUGGCGGCGCCGCUGGGUCCUGAACGUAGUAAUAUCUCUCGUUACAGGUGCUCGGCGUGCUUCUGCCAAAACCCCAAUUUUUCUAUGGUUGACCUCGGAUCAGGUAGGGAUACCCGCUGAACUUAAGCAUAUCAAUAAGCGGAGGA
rnacentral:misc_RNA from 1 species